UGUUUCAGGGCUGGGGAGAGGUCGGCACCGGAGGGCUGGGGAACCCUGAAUGGCCAGUGUCCUUUCUCCAGAAUGCAGUUAUCCCUUGUUCAGUGGGAAACGAGUCUACCGGUGGGUACAACACGAGAUGAUAUUUCCACCCCCAUUGGUGACAGCCCUCACCUAGCUAUCAAGAGAAGCAUUUAUGGAGCUCGUGGCGUGAGGUAUCUCCUUCAUCCCUUCAAUUCAAGAAGCACAUGUGCAGGGUUGUUACACAGAUAUAUUGCAUAAUGGUAAGUUUUGGGCUUCUAGUGAAUCUUUCACUCAAAUAGUGACCAUUGUAUCCGACAGAUAAAUUUUCAGUUUUCACCUUCCUUCUGCUCUCCCGGCUUUUGGGUCCCCAGUGUCUAUUUUUUCCAUCUCUGUGUCCAUGUGGACGCAUUGUUUAGCUCCCACUUACAAGUGAGGACAUGCAGUAUUUGAUUUCCUGUUUCUGAGUUAUUUAACUUAGAAUAAUGGUCUCUAGCUCCAUUCAUGCUGCAAAAAAGGCACGAUUUCAUUCUUAAAAUGGCACUUUAUGAGGUUCGCUUUUCCUGGCAAGAGGAACUAACAAAAUGGAGAUGUCGGAUUCUUUUAUUAAACCCAAACGUGGUGAGCCACAGAUGGAAGGCAGAAGGUCGCUGAUUCUGGAAAAUGAAUCUGGGAAAUGAUAGCCUGGGGUCAAUAGGGCCAGGUACCAAGAGGGAGGCUGGUUGGGAUUGUGGAGCUAUGUGCUUUUCCUUCUCUGCACUUCCCUCAAGAGAACAAGGGCUUUCCCCAUCACCUUAGCAGAGCAUCAGUCCCCCCGUGUUGAACCAGCUGGCACUCUGGCAGCCCCUAAAGCACUCUCCUCCCCAGCUCCCACCUAAGCAAGGUGGGGAUGAUUUUAAGGCAGGCAGCUGUAGAAAAAGAGUAGGGCUCCGGGAGCUCUCCAGAGCUCCUCUGUCACCUGGCACAGAGGGUGGGUCACUCAGGGGAGGUCCAGCCCACUAUAAACAUGGAAGCCACGCACUCCGAUGUCAUUCCCCAGGCUCAUCCUCACCACGACCUGCACCUGGGCCUUUGCUUCU